rnacentral:rRNA from 1 species
UACGUAGGGGGCAAGCGUUGUCCGGAAUCAUUGGGCGUAAAGCGCGUGUAGGCGGCUCGGUAAGUCUGCUGUGAAAGCCCGGGGCUCAACCCCGGGUCGGCCGCGGGUACUGCCGGGCUGGAGUGCCGUAGGGGCAGGCGGAAUUCCGGGUGUAGCGGUGGAAUGCGUAGAGAUCCGGAAGAACACCGGUGGCGAAGGCGGCCUGCUGGGGUCUGGCUGACGCUGAGGCGCGACAGCGUGGGGAGCAAACAGG